UCCUUGAGGAGCUGAUUCGAACCUGGUUCCUAACCUUGGCUUUCGGAAGCAAUGAUCAUUUCACCCAGUUCAUGCUCGACUCCUUCAGUCUUGCACACCCACUGAAGCACUGAUUCCACGAUGAUUAAGAGAAGUAAAUCUAUCUGAUUAACAAGUUUAUGUAUCUAUCUGAUUGUUUUAGAUCUGUUAAUUCUUCAUUUUGUGUGCUUUUUCUAUUUGUAUGUUCUGUUGUCGCCGCUAGAUGUGUGGAUUUUUGUUUUUUUGUGUGUAAAUUAGGGUUUCGUGUGAUAUGAAUGUGUUGUUUUUGUUUAUGUCUGGUUGAUUUGUGCUUGUGAUUUAUUUGUGUUCUAAAUGUUAAUUUGAGAAGCAAAUGAAUUAAGAAUUGAAAAUCUUUAGGUUUGUAGUAGGCGAUUAAUUGGGAUGCAAUUCAGUAUUGAUAUAUAUGUAUUUCAAACGGAUUACUGAUAUGCAUCUGAGUAAAGAAUCGAGACAAGUAGCUAGUUACUUAAAUGAGGAUUCAUUAGACAAAUCCAUGGAGGUGAUAUUCACUCUGAAUCUCGUCAUUUACAGCCUGGAACUUAACUCUGAGUGUAAUAAUAUCUUUCUAUUGUAGGUAUCAAGUGGUAGAAAUUUAUAAAAUCCCGUGUCACUCGUUUCCUGCAAGUUGUAUCUUAACUAGAAUUAGUUUGUGUUAAUCAUGUUAAAUUGAAACCUUUCUUAGAGUGAUAUAAGAACUUGUCGCAGAUUGAUUUUUACUGUAGAAAGUCGAAGAAACGACCAUGGACAUGCGAAAGAAAUUUUUCUGAAAGACUACAAGUCACCUGAUUAUUGUUUGGCACUGUAAGAUACCUUAGCUCCUCAUCUGGGAUGUCUAAACUGCUUGAACAUACAAGUCACCUGAUUAUUGUUUUAGCAAUGUCAGCCUUGUACUUCUGUUGCUUUUGAUAUUUUCUGAUUCUGUUUCUGCAAGGUUGAACUUGAACAUUUUACCCUAUACUAGAACAGUCUGAUACACAUGAGUAUUAAAGAAAUAUUGAGCUUCAUCCUUCUAAUUUCCAGAACCUUUUAUUGUAUGAAUGCGUUUCCUAACACUAUAAUUACAUUCAGGAGGGCGACUUCCAGAUAUAUUCACGGCAUCUGAUUCUCCCUUUGCUUCCAGACAGUAAAUUUAAACUGAAAAUUAUUACUGAGACAUGCCCGUCGAAGAACACGACAUUAGAUGUUUGUUACUUUAUUCCCUCUCCUCAAGUCUUUGCAUAUGCUUUCUAUAUAUGAAUCUUCUUCUGUUAUGAUGUUCUUUGUCUUUUGACAAUAUUAGUUCUGAAUAUUUGAUGCAGGGUCUUUACCGGUCAUUACGAAAUUGCUGCACACAAUGUGAAGCAGCGGAUUUUCAGAAUAUCCUAAUUGUCGUAGUGUUUAUGAUGUAACAACUCUUCAAUGUCAUGAGCCUAUCAAGUGCCCCUCAUUUCAACGAUCCAGUGAUACACUUUGGUAUCUCUGCUCCUUAUUUUAUCUGGCCUUUAACAUAGGCAUUUCACUGGGUUACUGAUUCUGCAGAUAUUGAAGAUAGACUUUCGAGAGCAAUAGUGUCAUUUGACAUUGAAGAUGAACAAUUCAAACUUUUUACAUGGAUGGAUCCUUUUAAAAUUCCUCUUGAAGAGCCAGUGAUUAUCGAUACAUUAAAUAACUCACUUUCAUUGGUUGUUCCUCACAAAAGUUUUCUAAAUUACUCAAGCUUUUAUAUAUGGGUAAUGGAUGACUACGGGAAAUAGGUAUCUUGGACUAGGUGGUCCAUCACCCAUAUAUAAAAGCUUGAGUUUAGAAAACUUGUGUGAGGAACACCUAGUGAAAGUGAGUCAUUUAAUGUAUCGAUAAUAACUGGCUCUUCAAGAGAAAUUUUAAAAGGAUCUGGCCAUGACAAAAAUUUGAAUUGUUCAUCUUCAAUGUCAAAUGACAUUACUGCUUUGGAAAGUCUAUCUUCAAUACCUGCAGAAUCAGUAACCCAAUGAAAUGCCUAUUUUAAAGGUCAGAUGAAAUAAGGAGCAGAGAUACCAAAGAGUAUCACUGGAUCAUUGAAAUGAGGGGCACUUGAUCAGGCUCAUGACAUGGAAGAGUUGUCACAUCAUGUGCACUACGACAAUUAGGAUAUUGGACAAAUGAUCUUCCUAUAAUGACAACAUAUGAGAGCGAUUUUUUUUUGAUGACCCUACUAAGAACGAAAGAACACUCCAGUUUUUUGUAUUUCUGCACACAAUGUGAAGCAGCGGAUUUGUGGAAUAUCCUAAUUGUCGUAGUGUGUAACAAUUCUUUAAUACCUUGAGCCUGAUCAAGUUCCCCUCAUUUCAAUAAUUUAGUGAUACACUUUCGUGUCACUGCUCCUUAUUUUAUCUGGCCUUUAACAUAGGCAUUUCAUUGGGUUACUGAUUCUGCAGAUAUUGAAGAUCGACUUUCCAAAGCAAUAGUUUCCUUUGACAUUGAAGAUGAACAAUUCAAAUUUUUUACAUGGAUGGACCCUCAUAAAAUUCCUCUUGAAAAGCGAGUGAUUAUCGAUACAUUAAAUGACUCACUUUCACUGGUUGUUCCUCACAAAAGUUUUCUAAACUUAAGCUUUUAUAUAUGGGUGAUGGAUGACUAGGUGAAAUAGGUAUCUCUUUUGGACUAGGCGAUACAUCACCCGUCUAUAAAAGCUUGAGUUUAGAAAACUUGUGUAAGGAACAAUCACUGAAAGUGAGUCAUUUAAUGGAUCGAUAAUAACUGGCUCUUGAAGAGGAAUUUUAAAAGGAUCUAGCUAUUAAAAAAAAUUGAAUUGUUCAUCUUCAAUGUCAAAUGACACUACUGCUUUGGAAAGUCUAUCUUCAAUACCUGCAGAAUCAAUAACCCAAUGAAAUGCCUAUUUUAAAGGUCAGAUGAAAUAAGGAGCAGAGAUACCAAAGAGUAUCACUGGAUCAUCGAAAUGAGGGGCACUUGAUCAGGCUCAUGACAUGGAAGAGUUGUCACAUCAUGUGCACUAGCUACGACAAUUAGGAUAUUGGACAAAUGAUCUUCCUAAAAUGACAACAUAUGAGAGCGAUUUUUUUUUCCGAUGAUCCUAAAAUCCAAGAACGAAAGAACACUCCAGUUUUUUGUAACUUCAGUUAUGUUCAGUUAUGUUUCAUUAUGUUCUAUCCUGAGGAAAAUAAUAUCGUUAUCAUUGGCAGGGAGGAUGGCUCUAUACUAAUCUAUGGUGUUCAGAAAGAUAUGGUCUGUAUCUAUAUAUACUGAUAUCUAAGUGUUGUGCAUUAAAAAUGAAAUAUCAUAAUAUAGCUAUUAAGUUCUUAUUAUCUAUUUAGCUUAUAUAGAAGAUAUCAGAUGCAUCGGCACAUUUCUGUCAAGUGUCACCAGGACCAAAGACAUUUGUUAGUUGUACAUGAAAGUUGUAUAGCCACUCUUGAAGGACCUAAUCUCGAGACCUGCAAGCAGAAGAAAUUCUCAAGCUCUUUAAAUAUUUCUCAGUAGAUUCCCGGGGAAUUGAUCGGUGAUGCUGCAUAUAUAUUCAUGUGAUGGCCAGUCCAUAUAUGCCUGCUUUCUUAACAGGCACAUUGUUUUCUUGGACUCGGCAUCUUUGACCAUAAAGUUUUUUAUCAAUCCGAGUGCAUAUUUACCUUGUAAUUAAAGCCCGGUGAUGUACGCUUCUACUCUUGAGGCUAAUCCUACAAAACACAAUCAGUUUGCUCUCGGGCUUAGUACUGAUGGUGGCGUACUAGUUAUAGAACUUGAGGAAGAGGAUAUUGGGGUUGGCAUUGUAGCACGCCUUAGCUUGAGACCAGCAACAACUGAGAACUUGAUAUGAGCUUUUGUGAUAAUCAGAGCCCAGUAUCUCUUGAAAUCUAUGUGUUUUAAAACAUACAUCUAGGGAUUGGAUUAGUGCAAGUUUUUUUUUUGCUGGACUAUGUUAAGUGGUAAAUGUUCGAUGCAAAUAUAGACGUAGUGAAAAAGUUUAAAUGAGAAUUGUCAACAAAGUAUGAAAAUAAGAAAAGAAAGCCAAUAUUUUGACAUAAACAA